ensembl:rRNA 5S_rRNA 5S ribosomal RNA
GCCUACAGCCAUACCACCCUGAACGAGCCGGAUUUCGUCUGAACUGGGAAGCUACGCAGGGUGGGGCCUGGUGAAUACUUGGAUGGGAGACCGCAUGGGAAUAGCGGGUGCUGUAGGCU